UGUGGAGCACUGAGCAGGAAGGUUAUAGAGGGUUUUCCGGGGGCUCCUUAAGUCCCAGCAGGACUCCAGAAUAUCUGGAGCAUGCACAGAGGAUGAGGAUGUGGUGAACAGCUAUGCUUUCUUCUCAAAGAAAGAAAACCCAGACUGAAGCUGGUGUUCUUGGAAUACCUCAAGCUAAACAGCUGGGAAAGCAGAUCAUAAGAAGAAUGCAGCUUCCCAAGAGCAUGCUGGGAAGUGAGCCAGCUUGGCUGACUGACACUUGUUGCCAUGCAUGCAAUUGAAUUUUCCCAGAAUGCCUCCAGACCUCUAGGAGAAUGCCAAUGGGAGCCUGAAGAGGGCCCAAUGAAGAAAGCAUGGGUUAGCACUCACCAGCAGGAGUGCUGUCUCCGACCUAGUGAGCCUACGCAGCUCUUCAGGGGUCAGCUGGCCAUAGCAGAAGGGAUGUGCUGCUCUCAAGGUCCACAGGAAGACUAGCAGGGAGGAUCCUGGUCAGCAGAUACUUGGGAUUCAGAAAUCCUAUCCCUGAGUGAAACAGGAUCUCUCUGCUUCUCUCUGCCCAUGGAGGAAGCUCCAGCGAGAAUAUCCAGCUCUGUUGGGUGGCACGGUGCAGAAUGCCUGGGCAGGGCACAGGGCACAGGGCACAGGGCACGGGUGAGCUAAGAAUCCAGGCCCAGUAGGUGAGAAGUGGAUACAAGACAGGUGGACAAAAAGAUAAUGGCACUGGAAGACUUGCCUGUGGUAUAUGCUGAAACCAGGACGAAGAAAUCAUGAAGGAUGAAGGCAAUUAUGGACACCAUGAAGAUGGAAAGAUCAUUUUCUUCUAACUGUGGGGCAAGUGUAACCGUGCCACCAGACAGAAGAACUGGUAAAAUCAAUAAAUCUCCUAUUUGAGAACGUGUCUCAGCGGUAUCCUGACACCCCAGCAGAGAGGCUAAAUGCAGACCCACAGAAGAAAACCACUAUAAAAUGAGGAUUAUGUCAUGCUACAUAUAAGAAAAUGCCAUUUCUGUUGAUGCCAGGUAAAAGUAAAAAUGUAAGAGAUAUGCUAACGGGAGACAAAAACUAAAAGGAGCUUCUCUAUAGAAACAGACAGACAGACAGAAAGACAGACACACAGAAACCCAAACACUACCGUUUGUAUAUUUUAUUUUUAAAGUGAUGCUUGUGCAUCAAGGCGACAAGGAGUGAACUUGCAGUUAAUAGCUUUUGUCAACCUGACAGGGUUUAGAAUCUCGUGAUGCACUGUGAUCUAUAUGAUAAAAUGAACCCCUUACCAGCAGAUGACACUUCUGGGCAUGUCUUAGGAGAGAAGACCUAUCCUGAAUGUGGAUAGAACUGUCCUCUAGGCUGGAGUCCCAGCUUGAAUAGAACAAACAAACACCAAGAACAGAACAUCAGCUCAUCACAACAUUCCUCUCUCUCUGCUCUCCGACUUUAUACAGUCACCUCCUAGUCCUGACAUAUUUCUUCUUAAACUUUGAUCCCAGAUAAAUAUUUUUUCUUUAAGUUGUUUCUGUUAGGAUUUUUUACACAAUAAGAGAAAUAACCAAUAUAGUGUGUAAAUCACCAUUGACUGUGUAUCUCCUUUUCCAAGCUUGCCACAUGCUUCCUUCUCUUUGUAUUGUGUCCCCUGUCUGGCCCCACCGAGGGUAUGUAAAGAUUUUCUACAGCUGACGUAGAAAGUUAUUGAAAACUUUGUAAUUUAAUAAGAGUUUUUCCUCUUAGUUUUAAAGAUUGAUUUAUUUUGCUUUUAUGUAUAUGAGGGUUUUGCCUAUAUGCAUGAAUUCACAUCAUAUCUGUGCCUAUUGGAUUCCUUUAAACUGGGGCUACUGAUGGCUGUGAGCCACUAUGUGGCUGCUGGGAACUAAACCUGGUCCUCUGUAAGAGCAACAAGUGCUCUUAGCCACUGAGUUAUCACCCCAAACUCCAGAUUUAUUCUUUUAUAUUUCUGUAGGUCAGAGAUCUGGAUCUUAGUGGGCUGAAGACAAGAUCAGUAAUGUAGUAUCAUGAAGUAAUGCGUGGUAGGUCUGCAUUACUUCUGGAGUCUCCAGGGCACCUUUUAUAGCUUCUAGAAGCUGUUUUAGUCAGCCUUCACCUUCAAAUCCAACAAUGGCGCCUCUCCCAAUCCCUAGGUUCUUCAGGAAUAGUCUUUAGGAAGACUGUUUUAAUUAUGUUGAACCUUUUGGAUAAUACAGAGCAGUCUCUCAAUUUCAUGAUGUUUGGAGCAAUCAUGCUGUCUAAAAUCCUCCUUUGUCAUGUAAAAUAAUGUAUUCCUGGGUAAUGUAUCCCAAUUCCUGGGGUUGGGAUGGGGCAUCUUUGUAUUUUCCUGUCUCCUGCAGGGUCCCACAGUGUGGACUCGACGUCUCCUUGCCAACAGAUGACAUGUAAGGGUGGUGCUAAGCAUCAUGGUAGGACAUACCCUUUACAGGGUGAAUCAGGUGAGGAGCCCUUGUAGGCCCUGAAAUUGGGUCCCAAGGCUCUGCAGAGUGGUACAGGGGUGAACAGUCCCUUACUCCAUAGGAGGGCCUGGGAUUGGGGAACAGAGCUGAGCCCUUGAAGGCAUGAGGCUCAGGGUAUGGUUCCUCUUGGAAGAGUCUGACAGUGGCUUGAUUCUUUAACAUAGGGUUACUAACCUGAGUUCAAGGGUCUCACUGAAGUUGCUGCAUGUGUGUUUUAAUUUUUCGUUUUGAACAGACAUUUUAAAGGACACAUUUUAUCAUUUUUUUUAAAAAAAGAUUUAUUUAUUUAUUUAUUUAUUUAUUUAUUUAUUUAUUUAUUAUCUAUAAGUACACUGUAGCUGUCUUCAGAGACACUGGAAGAGGGCAUCAGAUUCCAUUACGGAUGGUUGUGAGCCACCACGUGGUUGCUGGGAUUUGAACUCAGGACCUCUAGAAGGACAGUCAGUGCUCUCAACCACUGAGUCAUCUCUCCAGCCCCAUUUUACCAUUUUUAUCAGAUUGUGAAAAUAAUCCAGAAAAUGAAUAUCCGUGACUCUAACCUCUUUGUUUACUCUUACUGGGAAAAACGGACCCUUUCUGAGUCAUUUUCUGCUUUUUUCUCUUCACAGGACACAGGAUCCCAUUGCUUCAAGUGCAACCCCCUUCAAAUUGACUCUGACAACUCUGCUGUGAUGAAGAUCUGUGUGGUUAGCUGAGGUUCAAGGGGAAAGGGAGCAGCCUAGGGCUGUUGGAGGAGGUGUUAUUUUGAUUCCAAAGGCACUUUCUGGUGUAACCUCCCUUGUCAAGCAGAAUGCAGGACACAAAGAGAGAUUCAGGAACCAGACGAGAGUCUGUAAAUUUGGGCCUGGCCUUGUCCAUGCUGAUCCUGCUGCCUGAUAUGAGCCAGGGACAUAUAGGUGAUAAGCACCGUGCCCUCCUCUGAGGGGAGUACGGGGUGGGGCUGUGACAUCAAUUUCAUCUACUUUGCAUUUUAAAGAAACUAAGAUGAGUUUCUUUUUUCCCUUGAAUUUCCUUAAUAAGAGCAUUUUAGAGUUUUGGAAAACCUAGUCCUAGUUUAAAGGUAGAAAGACUUUCUGUACAGAAAGGGGAGAGGAAGAAAAUGAGGGAGGGAAGAGAGGAGAGGAAAGGAGUAGGGGAGGGGCAAGCAAGCAGAAGGGAGGAGGGAGUAGAAGGAAGGACAGGAGGGUGGAGGUAGAGAGAGGACAUUUCAGAGAUUAAAGAGCCCUCCUCUUCCACACUCUUUCCCAGUUGGCUGUCACCAGCAGGUCACCUGGCUGAAAUCAGCCACCUGAACUCAGAGAAGGGUGAAUAUUUUCAGACCUUUGAACUUGUCAUCAUGUGGAAGCUCCUCUGAUGGUGGCAUCUACUCUGGGGCAUGUGAAGUGAAACAAUAAACCAAAAGAGGGCACUGGUGGCUGCAGAAGCUCAGAUGGUAGCGUCCAGCCAGCCUGGGGAACAUGUGCCCAGCUGGAAAAUUGUGGUCCAUUGUUGGAAGAGUUUCAGAGAGCUCUCUCAGCUCUGUAUCUUCAACUCCUUCCUGGAAAGUGGGAAGACACAGCUGUCUGUGCAUCUGUCUUCAGACUUCCCUACCCAGGCUGAAAAGCUUGGUCUUCUUAUAGAGGAGCCAGGAGGUACCAAGGGAGAGAGCUGAGGACCAGCCUUAGCAUUUUUAUCUUUUGAGAUGGACCUUCAAUUUCUCCUUAUUAUCCUCCCCCAAAGUACCUGCUUCUGAGGAGGCAGAUUACCCUGUGGGAAACAGACAAUUACAAGGCAUCCACACUGUACAUUGGAUUUUCCAUGGUGCCUUCCUGCUUUGGUUGACUGGUGUGAAGGGCUAUUCAUAGCUAUCUACCCCUAGACAGCACUGGUUGGACACUUUUCUGUUUUGAUAGUUUGAAGCUUCAGGAAGGCCCCAGGUGUCUCCCAAGAGGGAUAGGGCCCCAUGAUGUCCCUCCUGUCACUGUUGUCUGUCUUGUUGUUAAUGCCCAGAGAACAGAUGGGGAACUGGGUCAGGAACAAUGAGAGGGAGGGAGACACUGAACAAAUUAAUCAGACAGGAACUAUGUGAGGCCACGACCCAUGCCCUGGUUAGGUCUGGGCCCUUCCUUGAAACCCACAUGGAGCAUACAUAGGGAGUCCAUCUAUUGUGUGAAAACUUCCUGAUAGUCACAAUCAUUCUUUGGUCGUGAAGAAGAGUGCUGUUCUGAAGAAGACCACACACCUGUAAGCCUCAGCUUAGACUGACGUAGGAGGUCAGAUCCAGCUAGUCAGUUCCAGUUUCAGGACACUUUUGGCUAUGUGACCUAUGUUCUUCCUCUGUUCCUCCAAAAGGACAAUGACAGAUAGGCCAUGUACUUGUUCCUUUUUUUCACAUGUGAGGUGCUAGGGUUAAAUUCCAGUCAUGAGCAAGAGUCCUUGAGCUGUGAAGUUUAUUUUCUAGUCAAGAAGAUAGGAACUGGCCAAAUAAUCUUACAAAUGGGUAACUGUAGGCUUUGAUGGAUAUAUUAAAGCCAUAGCUUAUCAGGAUGAGAAAAAAAAUUCACAAGGAAUAGGAGGCUUUGGUCCAGAGUAGGUAGUUCUUUGGUGGUGUUUGAGGAGGAUGGAUGUUUGAGAAGAAAAGCCAGGUUAGUGGAGAGGCCAGGGCUGGGGAAGGCAGAGAGGACCUUGUGGUUAGAAGAGUCUUAGUGGAGCUCAGGAAGUGCAGAGGAGGCCAGUAGAGUAGAGGGCAGAGAGAGGGAAGCACCAUGUGGAGCGAGCAGAACAGCAGGGGUGGGAAAGAGGAAGAAAGUACAGUGUGUGUGUGUGUGUGUGUGUGUGUGUGUGUGUGUGUGUGUGUGUGUGUGUAGAGGGAACACAUGGAGUUUUGUCUAAGAAAAACAGAAAGUCAUUCAAGGGUCUGAAGCAGGAGGGAGAACAUCUCAUGGGAUGGACCAUGGUGGCAGAGAGGGAAGGGUAGCAAGUGGGGACCAGGAAAGAGGCAAACGCAACAUCUCCCAUUGUUGUGGUGGCAGUGUAGAUAUAGGAGGAUGAGUGAAGUCGAGAAACACUGGCAGUCCAUGGGAUAGAAAAGACUGAAGGAAGGAUGGAUGCUUCCUAUUUCAGGAACCAUGCCGGUAGCUCAUGGUGCAAAGGUUUUGGAGGUGCUGAGUGUAUUUGAAAAUAUUUUCUAUUGUAACACAAAACCCAACAUCUGGAAGAAGAGUUAUCUCCAAGAUUAGCUAAUUUAAUGGCUCCAUAAUGAAACAAAAGGAACAAGUUCUUUCCUGCUUCCAAACUUCACUAAGAGACUUUGUUGUCAAAUUGUUUCCUCAUAGGCAAGAGAUGGCUGCUGAAGUUCCAGACAUCACAUACAGUCAUGAGUAUAUGGGUACCAUUUAAAGUAAUCAUUUUCAGUGCCCCAUUCAACUUCUCUUCACAGUUUCUUGGCCAAAACCAGUCCACAGUAUGAUUCAUGUAUUAUUAACUUGAAUGAAUUAGGAUUACUCCAUAGUCUCUCAUUAAGGGAUAGCCUCACCAAACCAGAUUCUCUUAGAUGGCAGGGGGAGUGGAGAUUUUGAAGGUCACUGAGGGUGUCUGCCAACUAGAAGUGGAGACAGGAGAAAUCUCUGAGCUGUUCUCAGAGAUGGCAGCCUUUCCAGGUUGGACCCCCCCAUCCCCAUCUCAGCCAUCAACUCAAGCCUUUUCUUCAACAGAAGUAAGGUUAAAGGGCCUUGGAGUAGCACAGUCUUUCUUAAAUUCCGUUGGCCAUGAGGUAAAUUGAGGUAGGGGGUUAAAAAUGCACAUUCCAGGUUUCCCAGAGCCCACCUGAAUAGGAGGGAGUCUUGGGAGGAGGAGGAGGAGGAAGAGGAAGAGGAGGAGGAGGAAGAGGAAGAGGAAGAGGAUGAGGAGGAUGAGGAGGGGUUAGGACUCUGCUUGACAGAUGAAAUCUACAGGCAAUUCAGAUGGAGUGGUAUCUUGGAAUCUCGCAGGCUCUGUGCUAUGGGGAGAGCCAUACCUAGAAGAGAGACUUAAUCUGUCCCAGCUCCCACAGAGGGUAGGUUAGUCUCAGUGGGGACCAGUAGGGAGCAAUCCAGUGCAUAUGCUCAGAGUCUUUCUUUGUGCUGAUGAGGAGAGAUCAUUAUUCCUGUGAAUCUAUCGGAACCAUAACACACCUCACUACGUUUAGUUCUUAAAUGACCCUGGCCUGAGGUUUAACUUUGCAAACGGAUGCACACAGAACCUUGGGCAGUGUGGACAGACAGAAUUCCACCUCUCUUGGCUCAGCCUGUGUAUCUUAGCAGCUCUAUGGGGUUCUGCAUUCCUCCCACUUUUUGAAGUUAACCAGACAGGUCCGGCUGGGGAUAGUUAAGGGGUUCUUGUCCAAAGAUACAAACUCCCUUGGUAGAAGAGCCAGUACCUGCAGGGCUGUUGCCUCCCUAGAGGCCAUUCCCUGGUGCACAUGGCUAGCCUGGCCAGCAGA